rnacentral:rRNA from 1 species
UGGGGAAUAUUGCACAAUGGAGGGAACUCUGAUGCAGCGACGCCGCGUGAGUGAUGAAGGAAUUCGUUUCGUAAAACUCUGUUCUAUGGGAAGAAAAGGACUGUACCAUAGGAGAAAGCUCCGGCUAAAUACGUGCCAGCAGCCGCGGUAAUACGUAUGGAGCGAGCGUUGUCCGGAAUUAUUGGGCGUAAAGGGUGCGCAGGCGGCUUUACAAGUUGGAUGUGAAAUAUUGUGGCUCAACCACAAACGUGCAUCCAAAACUGCAAAGCUUGAGUUAAGGAGAGGUAAGUGGAAUUCCUGGUGUAGCGGUGGAAUGCGUAGAUAUCAGGAGGAAUACCGGUGGCGAAGGCGACUUACUGGACUUAAGCUGACGCUCAGGCACGAAAGCGUGGGGAGCAAACAGG